rnacentral:rRNA from 2 species
AUACAUGCAGUCGAGCGGAGUUUUGAAAAGCUUGCUUUUCAAAGACUUAGCGGCGGACGGGUGAGUAACACGUGGGCAACCUGCCCUUGAGACGGGGAUAACUCCGGGAAACCGGAGCUAAUACCGGAUAACACAUAUCUUCGCAUGAGGAUAUGUUAGAAGGUGGCUUUUAGCUACCACUCAAGGAUGGGCCCGCGGCGCAUUAGCUAGUUGGUGAGGUAACGGCUCACCAAGGCGACGAUGCGUAGCCGACCUGAGAGGGUGAUCGGCCACACUGGGACUGAGACACGGCCCAGACUCCUACGGGAGGCAGCAGUAGGGAAUCUUCCGCAAUGGACGAAAGUCUGACGGAGCAACGCCGCGUGAGUGAUGAAGGUUUUCGGAUCGUAAAGCUCUGUUGUUAGGGAAGAACAGUACCUGUUAAAUAAGCAGGUACCUUGACGGUACCUAACCAGAAAGCCACGGCUAACUACGUGCCAGCAGCCGCGGUAAUACGUAGGUGGCAAGCGUUGUCCGGAAUUAUUGGGCGUAAAGCGCGCGCAGGCGGUUCCUUAAGUCUGAUGUGAAAGCCCACGGCUCAACCGUGGAGGGUCAUUGGAAACUGGGGAACUUGAGUGCAGAAGAGGAGAGCGGAAUUCCACGUGUAGCGGUGAAAUGCGUAGAGAUGUGGAGGAACACCAGUGGCGAAGGCGGCUCUCUGGUCUGUAACUGACGCUGAGGCGCGAAAGCGUGGGGAGCGAACAGGAUUAGAUACCCCUGGUAGUCCACGCCGUAACGAUGAGUGCUAAGUGUUAGAGGGUUUCCGCCCUUUAGUGCUGCAGCAAACGCA